rnacentral:rRNA from 1 species
GGCCCUGGGGGCGGCUACCAUGCAAGUCGAACGGUAACAGGAAGAAGCUUGCUUCUUUGCUGACGAGUGGCGGACGGGUGAGUAAUGUCUGGGAAACUGCCUGAUGGAGGGGGAUAACUACUGGAAACGGUAGCUAAUACCGCAUAACGUCGCAAGACCAAAGAGGGGGACCUUCGGGCCUCUUGCCAUCGGAUGUGCCCAGAUGGGAUUAGCUAGUAGGUGGGGUAACGGCUCACCUAGGCGACGAUCCCUAGCUGGUCUGAGAGGAUGACCAGCCACACUGGAACUGAGACACGGUCCAGACUCCUACGGGAGGCAGCAGUGGGGAAUAUUGCACAAUGGGCGCAAGCCUGAUGCAGCCAUGCCGCGUGUAUGAAGAAGGCCUUCGGGUUGUAAAGUACUUUCAGCGGGGAGGAAGGG